rnacentral:rRNA from 1 species
CCUACGGGAGGCAGCAGUGGGGGAUAUUGCACAAUGGGGGGAACCCUGAUGCAGCGACGCCGCGUGGGUGAAGAAGCGCCUCGGCGCGUAAAGCCCUGUCAGCAGGGAAGAAAAUGACGGUACCUGAAGAAGAAGCCCCGGCUAACUACGUGCCAGCAGCCGCGGUAAUACGUAGGGGGCAAGCGUUAUCCGGAUUUACUGGGUGUAAGGGGGGCGCAGACGGGGGUGCAAGCCAGAAGUGAAAGCCCGGGGCCCAACCCCGGGACUGCUGUUGGAACUGCGGGGCUGGAGUGCAGGAGGGGCAGGCGGAAUUCCUGGUGGAGCGGUGAAAUGCGUAGAUAUCAGGAGGAACACCGGUGGCGAAGGCGGCCUGCUGGACUGCAACUGACGUUGAGGCCCGAAAGCGUGGGGAGCAAACAGGAUUAGAUACCCGUGUAGUC